UAUCACCGGCAGAGAAAUACAGUUUUUCCACAUUAUUCAUAUUUUAAAAAUAUGAAUGAUGUGGAAAAACUGUAUUUCUCUGCCGGUGAUAAUUACAU